ACGGUGACCCUCACCCAGUCUUAGAAUUUCUCCAUUCCAUUUUUCAAAGGAGAGAAAAAUAAAGUUUUCCUCGCACAAAAUAAAAAAAAAAUUGUUUAUUUAUCCCAAAAAAAAAAAAACGAAAAAAAUUCGAGAGGAAAAAAAAACCUACAAAAAUUCUUCUUCCUUUCUUCUCCUUUAUUCACCCCAAAAAAAGUCUUUCUCCAUCCGAUGGUUCAUUCAUCGUAAACCCUAACCCUAAUGUGUUUGAUUUUAUUUUCCAGAGAGUGGAUGCGGUAAUAAUCCCAUCACAAAAUCAUCAACGAGCUGAGAUUCACUAAUUAAGAGCAAUGAUAAGGAAGACUACGGCAGGUGAAGGUUUAUCAGUUUUAACGUGAUUUAAGGUUUAUUUCUAAUUAUUUUUGGAUCUAAAGGUUUGAUUUGCUGUGUUUUGAUUUUUACUGAAAGCCAGACGUGAUUUAUGUUUGUGGACAAUAAGAUCAUAUACUCUUUUGAUUUCGUCCGCAGAUGCACAAGUGUAUAAAGUAACGGUUUAUGGUGCAGACCCGACAGGAAAAACAGAUAGCAACAAGCUCUGCAGGAAGCACUUUUUGACGCUUUUAAUACGGCAACAACAAUGACAGACGAAAAUGAUAAUGAGUUUUUAAUGCAAGGCAUCGACGAUCUUGGAGGUCCUCAAAUUAACCUCGAAGAAAGUUCACAUACUAUCAGCGGUCAGGAGGAAAAUCCAUGGAGGAUCAUUACGGGCAUCUGAUUGACUCCUAAAAGAUGGAUUCCCGCAUUGUUUUCAUCCAGAAAAACACACGACUUGCUUGGUACUGCAGAACUUUGCUGUGAACUUAGCAGUUCAUAUUCACAGACAUCCAUACUCCUAUCAUUCUUUUAUUUUUUGUUGCAGAAAUUAGCAUUUAGAAUUCUUUUAAAACAUGUAGGAUCGAGGAAAGGAAACUGUAACAAACAUAUCCAUUUCUCGUGGUGCAUUUUCUAACAGUGGAGGUAAUCUUUAUGUUUAUUCAUUGUUUUUUCUUCCUUUGGUGUUAUCCCAAGCCACCAUUCAUAAGGCAAAGUGCGAUGUCCCAUUCCAAAAGCUCUGUAAAUGAUAUUGCUUCUCAAUGAAGACAACAUGGUAAGGGUAUGCAUCAAACAAGAAUAGUUUGAUUUGAUUGUUCUUCUCAAAUUCGCCUCGCCACACCAAAUCAAAUUAUUUGCUCAUAUAUUUCUUGAAUUUCCGAUUACAUAUACAUGAGUAAUUGUAAUGCAGAUUGGAAGACGCUGAAACCGCUCUAUACAAUUUUAAGCCGAUAAUUAAGGGAGACAGGCUUCAUGAUGUUAUCCCCAAGAAUCUUAUUUAGAAGUUUCAACCCUUGAAUCUUGAUCCAUGGAUGGAGGUUAUAUUUUUUUUGCUUGCCAAGCUCAACAUUUUCCUGCAAUUUGUGACUAGACAGCGUGUUACCGGUGGGCUUACCUUGGAGAACCUAAGGUUCAACCUUCCGAGCUGUGAAUAUUCCUUACUUGGUUAUGUUUUUUUUGCUUGCCAAGCUCAACAUUUGCCUGCAAUUUGUGACUAGACAGCGUGUUACCGGUGGGCUUACCUUGGAGAACCUAAGGUUCAACCUUCCGAGCUGUGAAUAUCCCUUACUUGGUGAACUUUAUAGGAAUUUGCUAAAGAUUUUUCCCCAAACGAUGCAGGAGUAUAAGAGUGAAAGUCACCCUUUUGGAGACGUCUUACUGAAAUGUUAAGGAGUUGUGAAUAGCCCUUCGGCCACCGUAGUCGCGGUUGACUCGACCUUUGUGAAGAAAUGUCAAGGUAUAGUCCCUACUUUUCGCUCUGCUUCUUGAAGGAAAAACUUAGUACUAAUAUUUGGCACAAGAACUCUCACUUACUUUUGCAGGGAAGUAUACAUUAUCGUCUACAAACGCUACCAAGCUAUACUUUAAUCAUAAUGAACUUGAAAUUCAGCGAAUGCGAGAGAGGUAGACUAUUUAUAUAAUCUUCUGUGAUUUUAGGUGAUAAAUUCGGCUCCGAGUUAACAUUUAAUUCGAGUCGAAUAUUGCUAGAAUAACCAACAUACCUUUGCCUGCAUCCAUGUUUCAUAAGGUGGUUAACAGGGUAAUCCUUUUACCCGUUCCAUUUUUUUUUUUAUGCGAAUCACAUAAUUUAUGUUGAUUGUUCUUCAAAUGUUGUUACUUAAUAUGCUUCGACAGUGAUUAGGCUUGGACACAUAAUGGUUAUAUUUGGAAAUUAAUUUCUUCAUUAUUUAUCCUCUAUGUUCUAAGGAUACGACGUCCAUGUGAUUUGCAUUUUGUCCUUGAUCCUCCUGAUUGGAUUUGAGUUGUUAUAUAGUCAUGUCUUAUUGUUGUGUAAGGUGUUAGUUGAUCAUUUUCAUGUUUGACUUUGCCGUUCACGCCAGUGUUGUUAGAGCUUAUUGGUUUCUCCCACAAAGAAACAAGGUUCCUCAUGAGUACAUUCACAUUUGCUGCUUCUUUAUUGGGGCCUUUUUGUGGGAGGUAUACUCUCGGAUCUUCUCCCAAAGAUUUUAUUCAUUUUGUAAUGUUUUUUUAGUUUGUUCAACUAUAGCACAGCUUCCUACUGGACCAUAUGAUCCAGGAUUGAGCAAACCAGUUGGUCAACUAAAUGUGAUUCUUCUUAUAUCUGCAUGCUGCCAAGGGACACACAACUAUUUUUGGCUGAUGGAUAUAUUGUAAAACCAUUAUUAGAAGUGUCAACUGUUUUUGCUUAUAAAUCACUAUGUAAAUAUCCCGAUACAUUUUGGUUCGCUAUAUAGUCUUUUUUCUUAAUAUA